rnacentral:piRNA from 1 species
UCAGGGACUCUGUUAUCCAAUCGGGGAAAGGA